rnacentral:rRNA from 1 species
UAGGGAAUCUUCCGCAAUGGACGAAAGUCUGACGGAGCAACGCCGCGUGAGUGAAGAAGGAUUUCGGUUCGUAAAACUCUGUUGUAAGAGAAGAACAAAUUGUAGAGUAACUGCUACAGUCUUGACGGUAUCUUACCAGAAAGCCACGGCUAACUACGUGCCAGCAGCCGCGGUAAUACGUAGGUGGCAAGCGUUGUCCGGAUUUAUUGGGCGUAAAGGGGGCGCAGGCUGCUUCUUAAGUCUGAUGUGAAAGCCCACGGCUUAACCGUGGAAGUGCAUUGGAAACUGGGAAGCUUGAGUACAGAAGAGGAAAGUGGAACUCCAUGUGUAGCGGUGGAAUGCGUAGAUAUAUGGAAGAACACCAGUGGCGAAAGCGACUUUCUGGUCUGUCACUGACGCUGAGGCCCGAAAGCGUGGGUAGCAAACAGG